UUCACCUCGCUCCACUCUAAGACUCCUUAUUCUCUCACUCUCAUGUUCUCUUCCUGGAAAUUUCCUCCGGUGGCGCAACCUAGAAUCUAUCGAAACAACCAUUAAUAGACUCAUCUCCCCACCUCUUUCUAAAUUCAUAUCUCACUUAUUCACCAGACCAAUGAACCAAACACAUUUUACUCAUAAGCCAAACCCUAAUUCUCUAAAAAAACAAAUUAAAUUCUUACUCCACACGCACUCAAACAAAUACUUUAGGGGUUUUCAUCCAUACAGAACGACGAUUUACAUGGUAGCAAGACUUGGAGAAAAUGUGUAUGAAGAGAAGAACUUACUUUCAGAGGGGAGGGUUAUUCCAGUCAAGGUCACUCUUAUGGUAUCAAAGAUAAAUAACAAAAUAUCCAAAGGAAUCCCCAAUCUCCAUGUAUCAGCUUCCUCUUUAUCUUUUCUUCUUUUAGGUUCGUAUUGGAAAUGGUUUAUGAAGUUUCAUGUAUGAUGGAAAUGGAGACUUUGUGUAGGUGAACCUUGCACAUUUGAAUCUUAUUGAUUCUUGAAGAAAGUGGCAUCCUCAAUUCAUAGCUUGGCGUAUAUCAAGAUGAAGUGGAAUGGCUUUGAAGUUUUAAAGAGAUAUAGGUCUAGGAAGUCAACAUUAUGGUCAAUGGUCAACAGUUGACUAAAAACUCAACUAUUGAAAUUUCUAAUUUUCUCUUUUGUAAUAGCUUGUAAAGACCUUUAUAACCUUGCUUGUAAAUGAAGUAACUUGUAACCUAAGUUACAAUUGAAUAAAAUGGAAACUCU